rnacentral:rRNA from 1 species
AGUGAACGCUGGCGGUAGGCCUAACACAUGCCAGUCGAACGGCAGCACAGUAAGAGCUUGCUCUUACGGGUGGCGAGUGGCGGACGGGUGAGGAAUACAUCGGAAUCUACUUUUUCGUGGGGGAUAACGUAGGGAAACUUACGCUAAUACCGCAUACGACCUACGGGUGAAAGCAGGGGAUCUUCGGACCCUGCGCGAUUGAAUGAGCCGAUGUCGGAUUAGCUAGUUGGCGGGGUAAAGGCCCACCAAGGCGACGAUCCGUAGCUGGUCUGAGAGGAUGAUCAGCCACACUGGAACUGAGACACGGUCCAGACUCCUACGGGAGGCAGCAGUGGGGAAUAUUGGACAAUGGGCGCAAGCCUGAUCCAGCCAUACCGCGUGGGUGAAGAAGGCCUUCGGGUUGUAAAGCCCUUUUGUUGGGAAAGAAAAGCAGCAGGUUAAUACCCCGCUGUUCUGACGGUACCCAAAGAAUAAGCACCGGCUAACUUCGUG